GGAUCUGUGGCACAAUGGUAGCGCGUCUGGCUCCAAAUCAGAAGGUCGCGUGUUCGACUCACGUCAAGUUCA